CCCUUAGAUGUUCUGGGCCGCACGCGUGCUACACUGAGUGGAUCAGCGGGUCAGGUUGCGCGAAAGCGUUUCCUAAUCUUUAAAUCCGCUCGUGAUGGGGAUUGACGGUUGCAAUUUUCUGUCAUGAACGAGGAAUACCUUGUAAGCGCGGGUCAUCAUCCCGCGCUGAAUACGUCCCUGCCCUUUGUACACACCGCCCGUCGCUCCUACCGAUUGAGUGAUCCGGUGAGGCUUUGGGAUCUGAGCGGAAAGAGCGUUUCGCUGUUUCUGCCCGGAAAACUCAGUCGAACCUUAUCAUUUAGAGGAAGGAGAAGUCGUAACA
rnacentral:rRNA from 1 species